AGGGCACCACCAGGAGUGGAGCCUGCGGCUUAAUUUGACUCAACACGGGAAAACUCACCCGGCCCGGACACUGGAAGGAUUGACAGAUUGAGAGCUCUUUCUUGAUUCAGUGGGUGGUGGUGCAUGGCCGUUCUUUGUUGGUGGAGUGAUUUGUCUGGUUAAUUCCGAUAACGAACGAGACUCUAGCCUAUUAAAUAGAUCGUUGGCUUACAAACGCCGGCGAGACUUCUUAGAGGGACAGGCGGCGAUUCAGCCGCACGAAACAGAGCAAUAACAGGUCUGUGAUGCCCUUAGAUGUCCGGGGCCGCACGCGCGCUACACUGAAGUGAUCAGCGUGCAUUUUGAAACCUACUCUGUCAAGAGUGGGGAACCCAAUGAACCUUCUUCGUGAUUGGGAUAGGGGAUUGUAAUUAUUCCCCUUGAACGAGGAAUUCCCAGUAAGCGCGAACCAUAAGUUUGCGCUGAUUACGUCCCUGCCCUUUGUACACACCGCCCGUCGCUACUACCGAUUGAAUGUUU
rnacentral:rRNA from 1 species